UUUUGAGAUAUUUGUUUGAGGUUUGAAAUUUGGGGGUUUAAGGGUGGAAUUGUUCUCUCAUUUUAUAGAAGGACUAAGCAAUCAGAAAGUCACCAAGAUUAUUCUUACACUUCAAACAACUCAUGAACUAGAGCGUGGUAAGAAAUCAUCAAGAGUUAUUGAAGAAAAGAAACAGCAAAGAAAAGCCUUCACUAAGGACAAAUUAUGUUAUUCUUUGGAGUCAUCAUUGGAGGAGUGAUAAAAUGACUAUUUGUGUCCUAAAGUAGAAUGUAGUUUCUGAAUUUUUUUUUUUUUUUUAAUUCUUAUGGUGUGGAACCCUCCGUUCCUGAUUUUGUGAUUGUUAUCUCUAGAAGAAUAUGCGAUUGUACAGAGGAAAAUGAAGGAUUGAAAAGUAGAAUGUGGAGUUGUGUAAGUGGUGCAAGGAAUUAAAAUUUGGAGGUGUGUAAGUAAUGCAGUUAUCAUAUUUUAUUUUAUCUGAAUUUUUUGAUGCAAUUCUUCUUAUUCAGGUCGUAAUUAGAAGUUUGUGGGAAGAGCUCUUUGUGUAGUUAUAGACUUAAAGCAGCUGAACAACAAGAACAAGAAGGGCGAUAAAUGACGAGGGUUACAACUCCAGAUUCGCAAAUCACUUAAAACAGUUGGCACACACUGUGAAUGGGCUAUAACUUAUUUUCUAACAAUACGUUGAUAGAAGUGCAGAAUACAAAGGCAUUUUGAAGUGGUGGUGAUCAAUCAUAAAGUAGAAAG